rnacentral:siRNA from 1 species
UUCUUGUGGGAGCCUUGACUA